UACGUAGGAUGCAAGCGUUGUCCGGAAUUAUUGGGCGUAAAGAGCGAGCAGGCGGUUACUCAAGUCAGAUGUAAAAUAUCCCGGCUUAACCGGGAGGGGCCAUUUGAAACUGGGUGACUAGAGUGAAGCAGAGGAUAGCGGAAUUCCCGGUGUAGUGGUGAAAUGCGUAGAUAUCGGGAGGAACACCAGUGGCGAAGGCGGCUAUCUGGGCUUUAACUGACGCUGAGGCGCGAAGGCUAGGGGAGCAAACAGG
rnacentral:rRNA from 1 species